rnacentral:rRNA from 1 species
GACGAACGCUGGCGGUGUGCUUAACACAUGCAAGUCGAACGGUAAGGCCCUUUCGGGGGUACACGAGUGGCGAACGGGUGAGUAACACGUGAGUAACCUGCCCUCAUCUCUGGGAUAACAGUCGGAAACGGUUGCUAAUACUGGAUAUGAGCUUGCAAGGCAUCUUGUGGGUUGGAAAGAUUUUUUUUGGUUGGGGAUGGACUCGCGGCCUAUCAGCUUGUUGGUGAGGUAGUGGCUCACCAAGGCUUCGACGGGUAGCCGGCCUGAGAGGGCGACCGGCCACAUUGGGACUGAGAUACGGCCCAAACUCCUACGGGGGGCAGCAGUGGGGAAUAUUGCACAAUGGACGGAAGUCUGAUGCAGCAACGCCGCGUGCGGGAUGACGGCCUUCGGGUUGUAAACCGCUUUCAAUUGUGACGAAGCUUUUUUGUGACGGUAGCAGGAGAAGAAGCACCGGCUAACUACGUG